CCUACGGGAGGCAGCAGUAGGGAAUAUUGCGCAAUGGACGAAAGUCUGACGCAGCCACGCCGCGUGAGUGAGGAAGGCCUUCGGGUUGUAAAGCUCUGUCAGCUGGGAAAAACAGGCAAGAGGGGAAAGUUCUCUUGCUUUGAUGGUACCAGCGAAGGAAGCACCGGCAAACUCUGUGCCAGCAGCCGCGGUAAUACAGAGGGUGCAAGCGUUGUUCGGAAUUACUGGGCGUAAAGCGUGCGUAGUCGGUAUUGAGAGUCGCGGGUGAAAUCCCAGGGCUUAACCCUGGAACUGCCUGCGAGACCUCAGUACUAGAGUGUGAGAGGGGAUAGUGGAAUACCCAGUGUAGCGGUGAAAUGCGUAGAGAUUGGGUGGAACACCGGUGGCGAAGGCGGCUAUCUGGCUCACAACUGACGAUCAGGCACGAAAGCANGGAGACAACAGAUAGUAUACCUACGUAGUCAUGCGUAACUAUGCAUACAGACUGUAGUGGGUUUUCGUUCCGUCGUCGUGUGGCGA
rnacentral:rRNA from 1 species